AGAGUUUGAUCCUGGCUCAGAAUCAACGCUGGCGGCGUGCCUAACACAUGCAAGUCGAACGCGAAAGUCCCGCAAGGGAUCGGUAGAGUGGCAAACGGGUGAGUAACACGUGGGUGACCUGCCUUCGAGUGGGGGAUAACGUCCCGAAAGGGACGCUAAUACCGCAUAACAUGCUGCCUUUUAAGAGGUGGACAGCAAAGCUGGGGAUCGCAAGACCUAGCGCUUGAAGAGGGGCCCGCGUCCGAUUAGCUAGUUGGUGGGGUAACGGCUCACCAAGGCAACGACGGGUAGCUGGUCUGAGAGGACGAUCAGCCACACUGGAACUGAGACACGGUCCAGACUCCUACGGGAGGCAGCAGUGGGGAAUUUUGCGCAAUGGGCGAAAGCCUGACGCAGCAACGCCGCGUGUGUGAUGAAGGUCUUCGGAUUGUAAAGCACUUUCGACCGGGACGAAAACCCUGAAGCUAACAUCUUCAGGCUUGACGGUACCGGGAGAAGAAGCACCGGCUAACUCUGUGCCAGCAGCCGCGGUAAUACAGAGGGUGCAAGCGUUGUUCGGAAUUAUUGGGCGUAAAGCGCGUGUAGGCGGCUUUGCAAGUCGGGUGUGAAAGCCCUCAGCUCAACUGAGGAAGUGCGCCCGAAACUGCAGAGCUUGAGUGCCGGAGAGGGUGGCGGAAUUCCCCAAGUAGAGGUGAAAUUCGUAGAUAUGGGGAGGAACACCGGUGGCGAAGGCGGCCACCUGGACGGUAACUGACGCUGAGACGCGAAAGCGUGGGUAGCAAACAGGAUUAGAUACCCUGGUAGUCCACGCCGUAAACGAUGAGAACUAGGUGUCGUGGGAGUUGACCCCCGCGGUGCCGAAGCUAACGCAUUAAGUUCUCCGCCUGGGAAGUACGGUCGCAAGACUAAAACUCAAAGGAAUUGACGG
rnacentral:rRNA from 1 species